GCCUGCUGCGCCUGCGCAGCUGGCAUCCUGCUGCGCGCCUAAGGCGCAUGUGCAUGGGGAGCGGCGGAAACCCGGGGUGGAGUCUAACUACAGCAUUCAUUGGAUGCCCCAACGCACCCUGCCUCUUCCAGUCCCAGCUGUGUCACACAUGCCACUGAAUUCAUCUUCCUGUGUCUGAUGUAUCUGAAAGAGCUUCAUCAACUGUAAAGAGUUGAGCAAAUGGACCAGGCAUUUCUGAGGUUCCUGCCAUGAGCUGUGCUGAGCUCUGAAGCGGCCAGAUGCACAAAGCUUCCUGAUUUGCGUGUUGGGUUGCUGCCCUAGCAUGGCUCACCUGCUGUGGUGAACCCCGUGUUUUCCUGUUCUCUGAGGAGCAGAUUACAAUUGUUCAGGCGCAGGGUAUUUGCUGAACAUCACCCAAGAGCCUGGCACUCUACCAGGUGCCUUCCUGAAAGCUGUUGAGGAGAAAUGAUGCUUUCCAGCCAAGAAGUAUUCUGUUGUCACUCCUUUCUCUCUGGCCACAGGGAACCAUGCAGAGGGUUCCAGCUACCAGGCCUGAGGGGGUUCCGGUCCAUCUCCGCACCACGGCCUCACUGACCGCAGACAGGGGCCUUGACUCCCUCGGCCACUUGCCGGCGGCUGCUUCGCCACGCUCUGGUGCUGGAUGUGGAAGUGGAGGGCUUGCUGGUUCCCGAGGAAGAGAAUAUUGAGGAAGCUCUCUGCCAGGUCCUCUUAGCCCAUCCCUCCCAGCCCAGGAGGAAUGAGGAGCUGUCUUCACUGUUCAGAGGGGUGUGGUGGCAUGUGUGGGUGCUGCCUCACCUACAUACCUAAAAAUACCACACCGUGGUCGUCUACUGCCUUUCCCCCCACCUCCCCAAAACCCAAGUUACAUGGUAAAGAUGUUCACAUUUAAUGAGAUGGUGGUGCCUCUCAGCACACUUUGAGCCCUUUGGAUACUAUCUCAUUGAAUAAUUUUAUUUAUACUUAUCAGCUAACAUAGAACGUGGCCAGUGAGAAUUAUAGGAUGCAGAAAAUAAGAUGUCAGUUGCUGUCAGUAACAAAAAAUAAUAUCAAAACAAUACUUGAAACAACCCUUACUCUCUCCCGAUCACCGACCUGUUGAGGAAAUGCUGUGAUGGGCAGUGCUGCUGCUGUUGAGUAAUAAUUCAGAUCUACUCAGGGAAAGGCCAGGCUUUCAUAUUUUUUCUGCAUCGCUUCCAAGACCCUGUACUCCUUACUUCAUGUUGAACCAGCUGCACUCCUAAGAGGUGGUGUGAGAUGCUGCCAGAAUCAUUGGAGUGUCUUCCUGUUGCCUAAGGCCUCUUUAGGCUGGGAAACAAGGAUGCAUGGUGCCAGUUACAGCCGUGGUUCCUCUGUGGGUGUGGCUUUAUCUUGGGCCUAUGAACUCCAAGGAGACGGAGAAGCUGCCAUCUCCCUGCCCUCAGAGAGCUGAAUCCUUGGCCAGUAUUUCUAGUCUAAGGUUGGGGAUCAGUUAGCUUCUCUCCUCUGGUGGGUUCCUAAGUAUUUGCUUUUUGAAACCCUCCUCCCAAGAUUCCUUGACUGGUUAAGGUUUUAUUGCCUGCUCAGUCUGAGUUACUGCCACACACACACACACACACACACACACACACACACACUCAUUAAUCUUUUUUUUGUUGUCGUGGGCAGAGUCAGAUGGUCCUUAGGCAAUCAAAUGUAUUAUACAUGGACCCGUUUGCCUAGGUUCUAGCCCUACAACGCCUCUUAAAAUUUCUUCUCUUUUGCCUGGUUAACUCCUUGUCGUUCCUCAGGUCUUGAUUUAGCCACCACUUUCUCCCAGAAGCCAGGUUGGGCUUGGUGGCCCGGCUCUGCGACCACACAGUAGUGUAUUGUGAUUGCCUGAUGAUGCAUCUGUGGUUCCACUAGACUGUAUGCUUUCUGCAGACAAGAGCUGUGUCUGUCUUGUAUCCCUGGAGCCUAGAGCAGCACCUGAUACUCGGUAGCUGGUCAAUAAAUAUGUAUUAAACAAAUGGAUGAAUGAAUGCAUUCCUGAACUAAGUCACUUUAUAGAAUCCAAGCUCCCUAAUGUUAUCUCCACCCAAUUCAUCCUAUGGGAGAAACCAGUUUCCUUAAACAGAAACUUAUGUGCAGAGAUAAACAUCUAGAGAGAUCUACCCCAUAAUGAAAUAGUAAUAAUCGUAGUAGUUGGAAACUAUUUGAGGUAGUAGAAUAAUAGGUAAAUUUAAUUCUUUUCUUUUGCCUGGUGUGUGUUUCUACAAUGAGAUAUAUGUAUAUAUUCAAAAGGAAUAUACUAUGUAAAAUGAGGCGUUAAUGUUUAAUGGGUAUAGAGUUUCAGUUUGGGAAGAUGAGAACAUUCUGAAGGUGAAUGAUGGUAAUGGUUGCACACAAUGUGAAUGUACUUAAUUCCACUGAUUUGUAUAUUUAAAAAUAGUGAAAAUGGU